UACGGAGGGGGCAAGCGUUAUUCGGAAUUAUUGGGCGUAAAGGGCGCGUAGGCGGCUAGAUGUGUCAAAGGUGAAAUCCCUCGGCUCAACUGAGGAACUGCCUUUGAAACUGUCUGGCUUGAGGCCGGGAGAGGGUAGCGGAAUUCCCAGUGUAGCGGUGAAAUGCGUAGAUAUUGGGAGGAACACCAGUGGCGAAGGCGGCUACCUGGACCGGUUCUGACGCUGAGGCGCGAAAGCGUGGGGAGCGAACCGG
rnacentral:rRNA from 1 species